AUCCAGAUGACGACUCCCAUACAGGACGAAAUGCGCAUCCUGGAU
rfam:Trichobilharzia regenti genome assembly, scaffold: TRE_scaffold0003752